GACGAACCGUGCGAACGUUAUUCGGAAUCACUGGGCGUAAAGGGUGCGUAGGUGGCGAGGAAAGUCGGAUGUGAAAGCUCGGAGCUCAACUCCGAAAUGGCAUUGGAAACUACCUUGCUCGAGGGUUGGAGGGGGGACUGGAAUUCUCGGUGUAGCAGUGAAAUGCGUAGAUAUCGAGAGGAACACCAGUGGCGAAGGCGAGUCCCUGGACAACUCCUGACACUGAGGCACGAAAGCUAGGGGAGCAAACAGG
rnacentral:rRNA from 1 species